rnacentral:rRNA from 1 species
UACGUACUGUGCGAACGUUAUUCGGAAUCACUGGGCUUAAAGGGCGCGUAGGCGGAAUGGCAAGUCGGUCGUGAAAUCCUUCGGCUCAACCGAAGAACGUCGAUCGAAACUGCCGUUCUUGAGGAUUGCAGAGGAGACUGGAAUUCCCGGUGUAGCGGUGAAAUGUGUAGAGAUCGGGAGGAACACCGGUGGCGAAGGCGGGUCUCUGGGCAAUUCCUGACGCUGAGGCGCGAAAGCGUGGGGAGCAAACGGG